CCCAAAAUAAUAUCUUAAGUAACUUGAAGAAUAUAUUUUCCCUCUCUUCCUUCUCUCUUGAAGAUCCAGUCAUUAGUUUCACUACUGAGAAAGUCAUAACUGUCAUGAUGACCAGGACUUCAAAGAAGCAAGACCUCUUACCUAGUUGCCUAUCUCUGACAGGGACUGGCAACAGACGCCUAGAAAAAUAUUGUGAUCUGCUGCCUGCUAUACUGUCCCAGUAGUUGGUCUUUGGCAGCCUAAUGACUUCCUGAGCCUGUGAUUAUAUUUGGACAAUGCUUAACAGCCACUGACACUUGUAAUGCACUUAAGCCCUUUUUCGAGCCUGCAAGGUUCACACUUUAUGUGUUCUCCUGGAGGAAGCAGAUCAGGCAGCAGAGAAAUCUACUUGUGAUUAACCCUUUCCAAGAUCACUGGAAUAUGCUUACCAGGAGCAGAAUAGAAAGGUGGAAAAACACAGCACUUCCCACAGUAUAGGGGGUAGCAUGCAGAAGAUAGAGGUGCACGAAGGUUGUAUCUCCAUUUGAGACAGUCUUAGGAGAGCAUUCCAAAGCACUGGGCUGCUGCUUAAUUGCUAGCACAAACGGUGAUACCACUUUGGUCUGUGCCAGCUAAUACUCUCUGAAACACUGCCUGAGCAGCAGUUCAGGGGAUAGAUAGUGUGGGCCAGACUAUCCCAAACAGGCAUUCAUAAGCUGAGGCCCUAGCCCCGAGCAUAGCUCCUUCUCUAUGCUUAGACACCUAAAUUAAAAGUAAAAGCACACAAGAAUGUUCUAGAGCCAUGGAACAUCACAAAGGAGAACUCAAGCCAGCUUUGUGCAACAUAGACAGUGUCAUUUGACCCAUAGCAUGGGAACAGUCCCUGCCCUUGAGUCACUUAGCGUCAUGAAUGUUUCCAGACAGAUAGGGAAGCUGAUGAGAAGAGAUGGAAGGACAUCCCCCGACAUCCUGGGAGAAAGUAGAGAGAGAAAUUUUUAUAUGAACUUGAGGAGUUAUGAAGAACUGAUUACACUUCAGAAAGUUAUUAUACUCCUGAACUCCAAAAGCAAGGUGACAGAUCUGUUACACUGCUAUCCUGCAGAUUCCAGAUGCCACCAUCACCUUUGACUUGAGAGUUGCAGCUGAGGCUUUUGGUGAGACAUCUAGGACAUCUGAGCAACAAGAUGUUGAAACUCGUCAUUUGAAGGCAGAAAGCAUGUGGGAUACAAAUCACCUCUGAUACACCCUUUGAUACCUUUUUCUAAUAAAUAUUAUGCACUUUUUAGUCA
rnacentral:lncRNA from 1 species